GCGCUGCACCCCGGCCCCGCCCUCCUGCCCAGCCCCCAACUGCCCGUGGCCAUCCAGGGCAACGCCAAGGCCCGGCACGGCCCCUUCCUCCCCCACGGGCAGGGCCAGCGCUUCUACCACAAGUGAUGACGUCACGGCAGGCCACGCCCCCGCCAGCGUGACGUCACGGCAGGACACACCCCCGCCUGGGUGACGUCAGGAGGGGGGGAGGGGAUUUUAAACAAAAUUUUGGGGGGGGGGGGGGGGAGGGGAGGGCGGUCAGUGACCCCGCCCCCACCCCCGGGUGAGUAAUUAGCGCUGUAAUUAAUGAAUUAUUAAUGGAGUCAUUAAUGAAGUGAUGGCAGCCAUGAAAUAAAGGUUUAAAUAUUAAAAAUAAAUAGAAAAUAAAGAAUAUUUUUGUUUUGGGCA